GUUGAAUUAGCAUAAUAUAAUGUAUUUGCUUUAAGCGCAAAAGAUUAAUUUCAACU
rnacentral:tRNA from 1 species